GACGAACGCUGGCGGCGUGCUUAACACAUGCAAGUCGAACGGAUAGGCCCUGCUUUUGUGGGGUGCUCGAGUGGCGAACGGGUGAGUAACACGUGAGUAACCUGCCCUUGACUUUGGGAUAACUUCAGGAAACUGGGGCUAAUACCGGAUAGGAGCUCCUGCUGCAUGGUGGGGGUUGGAAAGUUUCGGCGGUUGGGGAUGGACUCGCGGCUUAUCAGCUUGUUGGUGGGGUAGUGGCUUACCAAGGCUUUGACGGGUAGCCGGCCUGAGAGGGUGACCGGCCACAUUGGGACUGAGAUACGGCCCAGACUCCUACGGGAGGCAGCAGUGGGGAAGAUUGCACUAGGGGCGGAAGCCUGAUGCAGCAACGCCGCGUGCGGGAUGACGGCCUUCGGGUUGUAAACCGCUGUCGCCUGUGACGAAGCGUGAGUGACGGUAAUGGGUAAAGAAGCACCGGCUAACUACGUG
rnacentral:rRNA from 1 species